rnacentral:rRNA from 1 species
GAUGAACGCUGGCGGUAUGCUUAACACAUGCAAGUCGAACGGAACCUUCGGGUUUAGUGGCGGACGGGUGAGUAACGCGUGAGAAUCUGCCUCUAGGUCGGGGACAACAAUUGGAAACGAUUGCUAAUACCCGAUGUGCAGCAAUGUGAAAGAUUUAUUGCCUAGAGAUGAGCUCGCGUCUGAUUAGCUAGUAGGUGUGGUAAUGGCGCACCUAGGCGACGAUCAGUAACUGGUCUGAGAGGAUGACCAGUCACACUGGGACUGAGACACGGCCCAGACUCCUACGGGAGGCAGCAGUGGGGAACUUUCCGCAAUGGGCGAAAGCCUGACGGAGCAAUACCGCGUGAGGGACGAAGGCUUUUGGGUCGUAAACCUCUUUUCCCUGAGAAGAAGAUCUGACGGUAUCAGGGGAAUCAGCAUCGGCUAACUUCGUGCCAGCAGCCGCGGUAAUACGAGGGAUGCAAGCGUUAUCCGGAAUUAUUGGGCGUAAAGCGUCCGCAGGUGGCUCUGUAAGUCUGUCGUUAAAGAAUGGGCUCAACCCCAUACAGGCGAUGGAAACUACAAGGCUAGAGUUUGGUAGGGGUCACGGGAAUUCCUAGUGUAGCGGUGAAAUGCGUAGAUAUUAGGAAGAACACCAGCGGCGAAAGCGCGUGACUGGGCCAGUACUGACACUCAUGGACGAAAGCUAGGGGAGCGAAAGGGAUUAGAUACCCCUGUAGUCCUAGCCGUAAACGAUGAUAACUAGGUGUUGCCCGUAUCGACCCGGGCAGUGCCGUAGCCAACGCGUUAAGUUAUCCGCCUGGGGAGUACGCACGCAAGUGUGAAACUCAAAGGAAUUGACGGGGGCCCGCACAAGCGGUGGAGUAUGUGGUUUAAUUCGAUGCAACGCGAAGAACCUUACCAAGGCUUGACAUGUCGCGAAUUCCCUUGAAAGGGGGAAGUGCCUUCGGGAGCGCGAACACAGGUGGUGCACGGCUGUCGUCAGCUCGUGUCGUGAGAUGUUGGGUUAAGUCCCGCAAUGAGCGCAACCCACGUUUUUAGUUGCCAUCAUUUAGUUGGGCACUCUAGAGAGACUGCCGGUGACAAACCGGAGGAAGGUGUGGAUGACGUCAAGUCAGCAUGCCCCUUACGCCUUGGGCUACACACGUACUACAAUGCUACGGACAAAGGGCUGCCAACUCGCGAGAGUGCGCUAAUCCCAUAAACCGUAGCUCAGCUCAGAUUGCAGGCUGCAACUCGCCUGCAUGAAGGCGGAAUCGCUAGUAAUCGCAGGUCAGCAUACUGCGGUGAAUACGUUCCCGGGCCU